AGAGUUUGAUCAAUGGCUCAGGAUGAACGCUGGCGGCGUGCCUAAUACAUGCAAGUCGGACGCUUUGUGCUUAAUUGAUAUGACGAGCUUGCUCUGAUUUGAUUUUUUGAUUUCAAAGAGUGGCGAACGGGUGAGUAACACGUGGGUAACCUACCUCUUAGCAGGGGAUAACAUUUGGAAACAAGUGCUAAUACCGUAUAAUACCAACAACCGCAUGGUUGUUGGUUGAAAGAUGGUUCUGCUAUCACUAAGAGAUGGACCCGCGGUGCAUUAGCUAGUUGGUAAGGUAAUGGCUUACCAAGGCAAUGAUGCAUAGCCGAGUUGAGAGACUGAUCGGCCACAAUGGGACUGAGACACGGCCCAUACUCCUACGGGAGGCAGCAGUAGGGAAUCUUCCACAAUGGGCGCAAGCCUGAUGGAGCAACGCCGCGUGUGUGAUGAAGGGUUUCGGCUCGUAAAACACUGUUAUAAGAGAAGAACGGCACUGAGAGUAACUGUUCAGUGUGUGACGGUAUCUUACCAGAAAGGAACGGCUAAAUACGUGCCAGCAGCCGCGGUAAUACGUAUGUUCCAAGCGUUAUCCGGAUUUAUUGGGCGUAAAGCGAGCGCAGACGGUUAUUUAAGUCUGAAGUGAAAGCCCUCAGCUCAACUGAGGAAUUGCUUUGGAAACUGGAUGACUUGAGUGCAGUAGAGGAAAGUGGAACUCCAUGUGUAGCGGUGAAAUGCGUAGAUAUAUGGAAGAACACCAGUGGCGAAGGCGGCUUUCUGGACUGUAACUGACGUUGAGGCUCGAAAGUGUGGGUAGCAAACAGGAUUAGAUACCCUGGUAGUCCACACCGUAAACGAUGAGUGCUAGAACGUUCGAGGGUUUCCGC
rnacentral:rRNA from 1 species